CGAGGCACUGCCGCUACAAGUUUUUUGAUCUCUCUCUAAUCUGAACUCAGUGAGGCUCUGUAAAUAAUCGGAAGGAAACGGUGUUGGAUUCGGAGAAGGAUGGUGAAGACAAAGCACCAAAGCCGGAAACCUAUGAAGAAGCAGCCUCGUGUCAAAAAGCAGGGAAAGCCGGCGGAUCUUUCUCAGUUCCGUGCUCAGCUUGAUGCAUUGGGCCUAAAAAUUGUCCAAGUGACUGCAGAUGGCAAUUGUUUUUUCAGGGCGCUUGCAGAUCAGUUGGAAGGAAAUGAAGAGGAACAUAAAAAAUAUCGCAGCAUGGUGGUAGAAUAUAUUUUGAAGAAUCGCGAAAUGUUUGAACCAUUUAUCGAGGAUGAGGUACCAUUUGAUGAAUAUUGCCAAUCCAUGGAAAAGGAAGGCACAUGGGCUGGACAUAUGGAAUUGCAGGCUGCUUCUCUUGUUACCCAUUGUAAUAUAUGCAUUCACAGAAAUAUGUCACCCCGCUGGUACAUUCGUAAUUUUGAUGAACGUGAAGCUCGGAUGGUCCAUUUAUCUUAUCACGAUGAAGAACAUUACAAUAGCGUGCGGUUAAAGGAAGACACUUGUGAUGGGCCAGCUAGGCCAAUCAUUAUCAAGGCGGAUGCUGAUCUUUCAGCAACAGCUCAUCAAUCAAAAGUUGCAGUCAAUCGAUCCAAAGGGGGAACAGGCGAGGGUUGUAUUCAUGCUGGAUCCAUCAAAAUGGUUAUGGCAGGAAGUGGAUGUCAAGAUUCUGAAAAAGUGAAUCAGGUUCUAGGGCAAGUACAUGGUGAUGUUGAUCUUGCGAUAGAGUUUCUUAUAGCAGAACAAGGAACAGAAGACUGCUUGGUGAAAACCGAUUCAUUUCCUGGUCAAGCAGAUACUUCCAAUGGAUGUCCAGGUGUAGAUGAAAAUGGAAAUUGUGAGCAACAUGAGGAAAAACAAGUAGAGAACAUUGACAAACAAGAUGUUUCCAGUAAUAGCGUUGAAAGAAGUCGUGAUGAUAGUAGUUCCCAGCCAGAUGACAAGAGGAUCUCAAGAAAUAAGGUCUGUCCAUGUGGUUCAAAGAAGAAAUACAAGGCUUGUUGCGGAGCAGUCGCUGGAAGAUCCUCUGCGAAGUUUGUUGUAAACCAUUCAAUUGACUCUAGAAAGGCUAGAAAGGAACGGCAGCAAGGCAAGAAAGGUGGAACUGCUAAAGCUGCACCAAUUCAUGGAUCCGAUGGAGGGCCGCCUGACAUGGGUGCACUUUGUAUUUGAUCUGGAUCUGAAAGUCUGAUAACUUCUGCUCUCGCAGAAAGAGAGGAACACCGGUAUUACAGCAGUUGAUGUGAAUAACGGAAGACCAGUACUUAAACGUUUGCACGCAUGCAUAUCAGACCUGAAAAAGAGCAAUCCAGUGACCUAUCAAGCUACACAGUUGCGCGCAUCAUUAUCUGCACAGACCAAACCGGCUUGACAUGUAGUUGUUAUUGUAUAUUGAGUUACUCCAUACGGCAUACGGUGGAAUGACAGAUCACCAUGGUGUUACAUGUUCAUAGAUGAAAAUAGUUACAUUAAAAAAUGCUGAAAAAUCAUGUUAACACCAUUAAAACAGGAUAAUUGAAGUGCAGAAAAUUUGAUGAAA